rnacentral:rRNA from 1 species
UACGUAGGGGGGCAAGCGUUGUCCGGAAUCAUUGGGCGUAAAGCGCGUGUAGGCGGUGUGUCGCGUCGGCCGUGAAAACCUGCAGCUUAACUGUGGGCUUGCGGUCGAUACGGGCAUCACUGGAGUUCGGCAGGGGAGACUGGAAUUCCUGGUGUAGCGGUGAAAUGCGCAGAUAUCAGGAGGAACACCGGUGGCGAAGGCGGGGUCUCUGGGGCCGAUACUGACGUGAGGAGCGAAAGCGUGGGGGAGC